AUCCUCUCAGGGUCGUACCUGGAGAGUUUCCAGUCCUCUACCAGUCACGACUACAGGAGGGAGAGUCAAGCAGAGGCCUACCCAUUCCAUUCCUAGCUUGGCCAGUGGCUAGCGAGUGGAAGACAAUCUGCUACAAGU
rnacentral:snoRNA from 1 species